AGAUGCUCGGAAGGACAUGGAUAGUUCGGGGCAUGACCACACCACCCCUUCCAAUCCCUGGGGCACCAAGGCUUUGUUACCAGGCCACAGCUGAAAAAAAAUCAGAAGACCUGGUAAUGAUGGGCCAGCAUUCCUGCAUGACCACAAUCAGCUGGAGCUGGGGAAGAGGAUGCUGUUGCCAGUUUACCACCGAAUAACACGUAUGCUUCUUAUAUGACCUGCCUGGCCAGUGUUGGCAUCUGAAUUUUCAACCCCAGAUGAGGAAUUUCUCUUUGGAAGCUUUUACAAUAAAGAUUUAAUUCAUCUGAUGAAAUGAGUUUAAGAUGAAAACA
ensembl:lncRNA novel transcript